GAUGAACGCUGGCGGCGUGCCUAAUACAUGCAAGUCGAGCGAACAGACGAGGCGCUUGCUCCUUUGACGUUAGGGGAGGACGGGAGAGUAACACGUGUAUCCCCCACCUAUCUGUCUGGGAUCUCUUCGAAACACCGGAGCAAAUCCCGGAUAAUCUCUUGAACCGCAUGGUUCAAUAGUGAGAGACGGCUUUGCUGUCACUUAUAGAUGGAUAUCGGCCGCAUUAGCUAGUUGGUACGGUACCGGCUUACGAAGGCAACGAUGCGUAGCCGACCUGAGAGGGUGAUCGGCGACACUGGAACGGAGACACGGACCAGAGGCCUACGGGAGGGAGCAGUAGGGAACCGUACGCAAUGGGCGAGAGCCUGGCGGAGCGGGGCGGCGUGAGAGAUGAAGGUCUUCGGAGCGGGAAACUCUGUUAUUAGGGAAAAACAAAUUUGUAAUGAACUGUGCACGGCGUGACGGUACCUGGUCAGAAAGCCACGGCUAACUACGUG
rnacentral:rRNA from 1 species